UCAAAUUGUCUUCCUGCAAUCCACCACAGCCAGCAAGGGUUGCAACUUGCAAGAGAGUUGUGUGACUGAUGGUAGUAUAUGCUUCUCUCUUUUUUUUAUCUGAAGCAGCAAGCUCCCCAUCAUAAAUUUUCUUUCCUUUAUUUCUUCCUGGGAGCAAAAGGUUACCUUCAUUAUCAGUGGCAUGGGUUUAGCUACAAAUGACUCAGGAUCAUUCAAAUAUAAGCUCAGUUAAUCAUCUGAAUAAAGGAAAGCUGACGCGGCCCAAACACAACGGCCCAACAGGACAAACUACGGUGCACCAUUGACAGAAGCCAGGCCCAGACUUCAGCCAUUGCCACUUAAAUUCUUUUUUCCCGGCGUGCUUGGAAGUUUUGCAGUGUUGGCUCCACGAGAUGCUUGCUAGCCCGGGCGAGCCAUUUUGGCUAGCAGCGUCCGGUGUUUGAAGAGUUCUUGAGUGGAUUUUCAUGUGCAUGUUUUGUGAUCUCUGCAGCUGUUUGCCCUUUCCAUUCAAGUCAUGAAUGUUCUUGAGGGGAUGUCCCGUUUCGAUCUUUUUCUUCUUCGCCAAUUUCCUUUUGCACAUCGAACAGGAGCAGCACAGGCACUCGGGCAGGCUACUAUAAAAACAACCGACUCAGCGAGCGAUUCGUUAGAACCCCAAACCCCAAACGCCAAACCAAACCAAACCUCCCGCCCUCUCCCCACUUUCAUCCCCUCCCCGCAACGGCCCAACCACCAUGGCGUCUUCCUCCUCCAGCCCCUCGUCAACUUCGCCCUCCACCGCUUCACGUUCUGAAUACCAAGAUACCGAUCAUUUGGCCGCUCAGUCCCUCUACGAGACGACGUAUCCUCCGCUCCCCACCCGUGAAGCCGCUCCAACAACGAGCGCCGCCCUCGGCGUCGCACCAGGCGCCAUCAACGCCUCGGCCACCGCGCCCGGCGUCUCCCGCUCCAACACACGAUCUCAAAUAUACCACACCCUCUGGGGCGGCACCAAACGCGUCCCCCUGCCCACCAACAUCUCCCUCGCCCUCGCGCACCAGAGGAGAUGUCGAGGUCGGACUCGGACUCGGAACUCCGCGGAUGUCUCCCAGCCCCGCCGGAAUAACCCCGUGGGCUUAUCCCAGCACGUCUCCUACGCGUCGCGCCUGGACCUGGAUUCGGGGUGGGGUACCGCACCGGCCCCGACGUCCGCGCUCGCCCCGAUGAGGUCGUCCACCGCGAACCCGUCGCCGCCUACGUCGGCAUGGACCAGGCCCUUCCUCUCGUCGAGCACCGUGGCCUCAACCCGGACGGACAACAGGAUAGCCGUCGCCGCCACGCCGCCACCCGACACCACGCUGGUGCCCGACGCGCCAGGCUACGCGCCCGCCGUGGCGACGAGCGUUGACACCGAGCCGGAGCCGAACGCGUCCAUCUCCACCACCUAUUUCGCGCCCGCCGUGGCGACGAGCGCUGACACCGCGCCGGAGCCGAACGCGUCCAUCUCCACCACCUCUUUCGCGCCCGCCAUGGCGACGAGUGCUGACACCGCGCCGGAGCCGAACGCGUCCAUCUCCACCACCUCUUUCGCGUCCGCCGUGGCGACGAGCGCUGACACCGCGCCGGAGCCGGACGCGUCCAUCUCCACCACCUAUUUCGCGCCCGCCGUGGCGACGAGCGCUGACACCGAGCCGGAGCCGGACGCGUCCAUCUCCACCACCUCUUUCGCGCCCGCCGUGGCGACGAGCGCUGACACCGCGCCGGAGCCGAAUGCGUCCAUCUCCACCACCUCUUUCGCGCCCGCCGUGGCGACGAGCGCUGAUACCGUGCCGGAGCCGGACGCGUCCAUCUCCACCACCUCUUUCGCGGCCGGCGUGACGACGAGCGCUGACACCGCGCCGGAGCCGGACGCGUUCAUCUCCACCGCCUCUUUCGCGCCCGGCGUGACGACGAGCGCCGACCGCGCGCUAGAGCUAGACGCGCUCACCUCCGCCUCCUCUUCUGCACCCGGCGCAGACCCAGACAUCUCCAGCAUUAUAGACGACUUGGAGACCUUGUUCGUUGCAGGAUCGGGCAUGCAAGCGAUCGGCGACAGAGGCGUGCACCCCGUCGACGACUUCUAUCCGGACCUAUUCCAGGCGUGGCGAGAGGAUGUCGCGUCGCGGGCGUGGCGAGAGGAUGUCGCCCCGCGGGCUGGGCGAGAGCAUUUCGCGUCGCGGGCGUGGCCACAGGAUGUCGCGCCGCGGACGUUCGGCUACUACGACAUACCUGCCGCCGACAUCCCGCUCUGUUCGGAGUGCCGCAUCCGAUCCGCA
rnacentral:misc_RNA from 1 species